UACGUAGGGGGCGAGCGUUGUCCGGAAUUAUUGGGCGUAAAGCGCGCGCAGGCGGCCGAUUAAGUCAGGUGUGAAAGGCUGCGGCUCAACCGCAGAGUUGCAUCUGAAACUGGUCGGCUUGAGUGCAGGAGAGGGGAGCGGAAUUCCCGGUGUAGCGGUGGAAUGCGUAGAGAUCGGGAGGAACACCAGUGGCGAAGGCGGCUCCCUGGCCUGUAACUGACGCUGAGGCGCGAAAGCGUGGGGAGCGAACAGGAUUAGAAACCCCCGU
rnacentral:rRNA from 1 species